rnacentral:sRNA from 1 species
GCAUGUCCUGAGCUCCGGCGGAGUGGUU